GACGAACGCUGGCGGCGUGCCUAAUACAUGCAAGUCGAGCGGAUCACUUCGGUGAUCAGCGGCGGACGGGUGAGUAACACGUGGGCAACCUGCCUGUAAGACGGGGAUAACACCGGGAAACCGGUGCUAAUACCGGAUAAUCCUUUCCUUCACAUGAAGGAAAGCUGAAAGACGGUUUCGGCUGUCACUUACAGAUGGGCCCGCGGCGCAUUAGCUAGUUGGUGAGGUAAAGGCUCACCAAGGCCACGAUGCGUAGCCGACCUGAGAGGGUGAUCGGCCACACUGGGACUGAGACACGGCCCAGACUCCUACGGGAGGCAGCAGUAGGGAAUCUUCCGCAAUGGACGAAAGUCUGACGGAGCAACGCCGCGUGAGCGAUGAAGGCCUUCGGGUCGUAAAGCUCUGUUGUCAGGGAAGAACAAGUACCGGAGUAACUGCCGGUACCUUGACGGUACCUGACCAGAAAGCCACGGCUAACUACGUGCCAGCCGCCGCAGUAAUAC
rnacentral:rRNA from 1 species